rnacentral:rRNA from 1 species
CGAGUCUUAACUGGGCGUUAAGUUGCAGGGUAUAGACCCGAAACCCGGUGAUCUAGCCAUGGGCAGGUUGAAGGUUGGGUAACACUAACUGGAGGACCGAACCGACUAAUGUUGAAAAAUUAGCGGAUGACUUGUGGCUGGGGGUGAAAGGCCAAUCAAACCGGGAGAUAGCUGGUUCUCCCCGAAAGCUAUUUAGGUAGCGCCUCGUGAAUUCAUCUCCGGGGGUAGAGCACUGUUUCGGCAAGGGGGUCAUCCCGACUUACCAACCCGAUGCAAACUGCGAAUACCGGAGAAUGUUAUCACGGGAGACACACGGCGGGUGCUAACGUCCGUCGUGAAGAGGGAAACAACCCAGACCGCCAGCUAAGGUCCCAAAGUCAUGGUUAAGUGGGAAACGAUGUGGGAAGGCCCAGACAGCCAGGAUGUUGGCUUAGAAGCAGCCAUCAUUUAAAGAAAGCGUAAUAGCUCACUGGUCGAGUCGGCCUGCGCGGAAGAUGUAACGGGGCUAAACCAUGCACCGAAGCUGCGGCAGCGACACUAUGUGUUGUUGGGUAGGGGAGCGUUCUGUAAGCCUGUGAAGGUGGCCUGUGAGGGUUGCUGGAGGUAUCAGAAGUGCGAAUGCUGACAUAAGUAACGAUAAAGCGGGUGAAAAGCCCGCUCGCCGGAAGACCAAGGGUUCCUGUCCAACGUUAAUCGGGGCAGGGUGAGUCGACCCCUAAGGCGAGGCCGAAAGGCGUAGUCGAUGGGAAACAGGUUAAUAUUCCUGUACUUGGUGUUACUGCGAAGGGGGGACGGAGAAGGCUAUGUUGGCCGGGCGACGGUUGUCCCGGUUUAAGCGUGUAGGCUGGUUUUCCAGGCAAAUCCGGAAAACCAAGGCUGAGGCGUGAUGACGAGGCACUACGGUGCUGAAGCGACAAAUGCCCUGCUUCCAGGAAAAGCCUCUAAGCAUCAGGUAACAUCAAAUCGUACCCCAAACCGACACAGGUGGUCAGGUAGAGAAUACCAAGGCGCUUGAGAGAACUCGGGUGAAGGAACUAGGCAAAAUGGUGCCGUAACUUCGGGAGAAGGCACGCUGAUAUGUAGGUGAAGCGACUUGCUCGUGGAGCUGAAAUCAGUCGAAGAUACCAGCUGGCUGCAACUGUUUAUUAAAAACACAGCACUGUGCAAACACGAAAGUGGACGUAUACGGUGUGACGCCUGCCCGGUGCCGGAAGGUUAAUUGAUGGGGUUAGCGGUAACGCGAAGCUCUUGAUCGAAGCCCCGGUAAACGGCGGCCGUAACUAUAACGGUCCUAAGGUAGCGAAAUUCCUUGUCGGGUAAGUUCCGACCUGCACGAAUGGCGUAAUGAUGGCCAGGCUGUCUCCACCCGAGACUCAGUGAAAUUGAACUCGCUGUGAAGAUGCAGUGUACCCGCGGCAAGACGGAAAGACCCCGUGAACCUUUACUAUAGCUUGACACUGAACAUUGAGCCUUGAUGUGUAGGAUAGGUGGGAGGCUUUGAAGUGUGGACGCCAGUCUGCAUGGAGCCGACCUUGAAAUACCACCCUUUAAUGUUUGAUGUUCUAACGUUGGCCCGUAAUCCGGGUUGCGGACAGUGUCUGGUGGGUAGUUUGACUGGGGCGGUCUCCUCCUAAAGAGUAACGGAGGAGCACGAAGGUUGGCUAAUCCUGGUCGGACAUCAGGAGGUUAGUGCAAUGGCAUAAGCCAGCUUGACUGCGAGCGUGACGGCGCGAGCAGGUGCGAAAGCAGGUCAUAGUGAUCCGGUGGUUCUGAAUGGAAGGGCCAUCGCUCAACGGAUAAAAGGUACUCCGGGGAUAACAGGCUGAUACCGCCCAAGAGUUCAUAUCGACGGCGGUGUUUGGCACCUCGAUGUCGGCUCAUCACAUCCUGGGGCUGAAGUAGGUCCCAAGGGUAUGGCUGUUCGCCAUUUAAAGUGGUACGCGAGCUGGGUUUAGAACGUCGUGAGACAGUUCGGUCCCUAUCUGCCGUGGGCGCUGGAGAACUGAGGGGGGCUGCUCCUAGUACGAGAGGACCGGAGUGGACGCAUCACUGGUGUUCGGGUUGUCAUGCCAAUGGCACUGCCCGGUAGCUAAAUGCGGAAGAGAUAAGUGCUGAAAGCAUCUAAGCACGAAACUUGCCCCGAGAUGAGUUCUCCCUGACUCCUUGAGAGUCCUGAAGGAACGUUGAAGACGACGACGUUGAUAGGCCGGGUGUGUAAGCGCAGCGAUGCGUUGAGCUAACCGGUACUAAUGAACCGUGAGGCUUAACCUUACAACGCCGAAG